UACGUAGGGGGCAAGCGUUGUCCGGAAUCAUUGGGCGUAAAGCGCGUGUAGGCGGUCCGGUAAGUCCGCUGUGAAAGUCGGGGGCUCAACCCUCGGAUGCCGGUGGAUACUGUCGGGCUUGAGUACGGAAGAGGCGAGUGGAAUUCCUGGUGUAGCGGUGAAAUGCGCAGAUAUCAAGGAGGAACACCAAUUGCGAAGGCAGCUCGCUGGGACGUUACUGACGCUGAGACGCGAAAGCGUGGGGAGCAAACAGG
rnacentral:rRNA from 1 species